rnacentral:lncRNA from 1 species
GUCACUAAUAAUUUGCCUUUUCUAUUUUUCAGUACAAGAUGGUUUUAGUCUGUGAUGCGCAAUGCUCAAAAGAUGGAUGCUGGGGGCCGGGUCCAGACCAAUGUCUAUCGUGUGCAAACUACCGUCUUGAAAAUAACACCUGCAUUCAAGAUUGCUCAGUGCUGUCCAAUUUUGUUCGAAUACGACUCCAAGCUGUGCAAAGAAUGUCAUCCAGAAUGUGAAUCAACCUGUCAUGGUCCGUGACCUGGUAAUUGUACGCGGUGCAAGAACGUCAAAGACGGGCCUUUCUGUGUCCCAGCAUGUCCGAGCAGCAAGUACAGUCAUGACGGUGAAUGUCUUCCAUGCCACCCGAACUGCAUGGACAGUUGCACUGGUCCAGAAGAAUAAUAUUUGUCCCAACGGAUGCCGUUCCUGUGAAAAAGCCAUCACCAAUGCAGAUGUUGUUGUGGAGCGUUGUUUGCAAAAGAACGAAUCUUGCCCUGAUGGCUAUACUAUGAGUGGGUAGUCGGGCAAGAGCAGGUCCCUUAAAGCCUCUCGCAGGGAGGCAAUUUGUCGAAAUGUCACCCUCGCUGCAAGAAGUGCAUCGGAUAUGGUUUCCAUGUCGAAGUCUGUCAAGAAUGUGUCAACUACAAACGAGGUGAGGUCUGUGAAGAUGAAUGUCCUCCAGACCACUAUGCUGAUGACAAAACGCAUGUAUGUAACGAAUGCUACAAGGAGUGCACUGGCUGUUACGGACCAGGGCCAAGUAAUUGUUUCAACUGCCGUAGCUUGAAAAUUUUCAAGGUAAGUCAUCAGAGUAGAUAAUUGACAGUCGAGAAUCAAGUAUAGACGCUAGAAAAAAACUUUGUGAAUGGAAAAAAGUUCCCUCUUAAAUUUUAGAUUCU